rnacentral:rRNA from 1 species
AGAGUUUGAUCCUGGCUCAGGACGAACGCUGGCGGCGUGCUUAACACAUGCAAGUCGAGCGGUAAGGCCCUUCGGGGUACACGAGCGGCGAACGGGUGAGUAACACGUGGGUGAUCUGCCUCGCACUCUGGGAUAAGCCUGGGAAACUGGGUCUAAUACCGGAUAUGACCUUACAUCGCAUGGUGUUUGGUGGAAAGAUUUAUCGGUGCGAGAUGGGCCCGCGGCCUAUCAGCUUGUUGGUGGGGUAAUGGCCUACCAAGGCGACGACGGGUAGCCGGCCUGAGAGGGCGACCGGCCACACUGGGACUGAGACACGGCCCAGACUCCUACGGGAGGCAGCAGUGGGGAAUAUUGCACAAUGGGCGAAAGCCUGAUGCAGCGACGCCGCGUGAGGGAUGACGGCCUUCGGGUUGUAAACCUCUUUCGACAGGGACGAAGCGCAAGUGACGGUACCUGUAGAAGAAGCACCGGCCAACUACGUGCCAGCAGCCGCGGUAAUACGUAGGGUGCGAGCGUUGUCCGGAAUUACUGGGCGUAAAGAGCUUGUAGGCGGCUUGUCGCGUCGAUCGUGAAAACUUGGGGCUCAACCCCAAGCUUGCGGUCGAUACGGGCAGGCUUGAGUACUUCAGGGGAGACUGGAAUUCCUGGUGUAGCGGUGAAAUGCGCAGAUAUCAGGAGGAACACCGGUGGCGAAGGCGGGUCUCUGGGAAGUAACUGACGCUGAGAAGCGAAAGCGUGGGUAGCGAACAGGAUUAGAUACCCUGGUAGUCCACGCCGUAAACGGUGGGUACUAGGUGUGGGUUUCCUUCCACGGGAUCCGUGCCGUAGCUAACGCAUUAAGUACCCCGCCUGGGGAGU